GGGCCGGUCGCCGACGGGCGGCCGGCCCCCUUCCGCGUGCCCGGAGGGCUCCCGUGCGUCCUCGGAGGGUUCCGGCCCUUCCGUGUCCG
rnacentral:tRNA from 1 species